rnacentral:rRNA from 1 species
AGCAAUCCUGGUGGCGAGUGGCGAACGGGUGAGUAAAGUAUCGGAACGUGCCCAGUCGUGGGGGAUAACGCAGCGAAAGUUGUGCUAAUACCGCAUACGAUCUAUGGAUGAAAGCGGGGGAUCGCAAGACCUCGCGCGAUUGGAGCGGCCGAUAUCAGAUUAGGUAGUUGGUGGGGUAAAGGCUCACCAAGCCGACGAUCUGUAGCUGGUCUGAGAGGACGACCAGCCACACUGGAACUGAGACACGGUCCAGACUCCUACGGGAGGCAGCAGUGGGGAAUUUUGUACAAUGGGCGCAAGCCUGAUCCAGCAAUGCCGCGUGCAGGAUGAAGGCCUUCGGGUUGUAAACUGCUUUUGUACGGAACGAAAAGGCUCUGGUUAAUACCUGGGGCACAUGACGGUACCGUAAGAAUAAGCACCGGCUAACUACGUGCCAGCAGCCGCGGUAAUACGUAGGGUGCGAGCGUUAAUCGGAAUUACUGGGCGUAAAGCGUGCGCAGGCGGUAAUGCAAGACAGAUGUGAAAUCCCCGGGCUUAACCUGGGAACUGCAUUUGUGACUGCAUUGCUGGAGUGCGGCAGAGGGGGAUGGAAUUCCGCGUGUAGCAGUGAAAUGCGUAGAUAUGCGGAGGAACACCGAUGGCGAAGGCAAUC